CCGGGUAGGCAGGAGUCACAUGGACUCUUCUCUCUGGGCAGGCUUUGGAGCCUGGCACUUGUCGGAUCAGAGACCUUGGCUCAGAGAACUGCCGGGAUCCUGGGCUUCUUGUCCUGGGCAAGGGGCUGCUCUGCUGGGCUUGGGAUUUGGGAGGGAUGACUCUGUGGCGUGGAAGAGGAGAGAUAGAAGGGAAAACCCAGGCGAGAUGAGGAAACUGAGGCCCAGGGGC